GAGCCCAGCUAAAAUCAAUUCCCCCAGACCCGGUAAUCUCCUUUUUACCCAGGAGUGAAGCCUGCCGCCAUAUUCUGCCCACAGACUGCUUUAUACCUCGGGGUGCACUCCAGGACCUUACUUCACGUGAGUAAGCUCCUCUAUCCAUUAAACCACCAAUGUCUCUGUUGCUGACCCUGGGCUCUCUCUUAGGUCUUGAAGCUGAGCAAGUAUGGGCCUUGUAGGCCUGUGGGGUGCAACCCAACACCACCACGGAGGAGAAAUAUGGGUCGUUACAAUAGGGGAGUCAGAGCACGGAGAGGUAAAUUUUGAGAGAGCAGAUGUGGCAAUCUGGAGCGUUGUAAUGUCCCAGGGGGCUCUGCAGGCCCAGGGGACAGGGUGAAGCAGGAGAGGGUACCGAUUGUGUGAUUCCCCUGGCACAUUUGCCUCUGGUUCUUCUGUUUGCUGUUUUGUCACAAAAUAACUUUCAAACUCUAGGUUAACAACAGCAGCAUUUGUGUCUUAGGUCUGGUUUGGAGGGAGUAAAGGGUUUCCCAGGUGGCCCAGGGAUAAAGAAUCUGCCUGCUGAUAAAGGAGAUGCAAGAGAUGUGGGUUUGAUCCCUGGGUUGGGAAGAUCCCCUUGAGAAGGAAAUUGCAACCCACUCCAGUAUUCUUGCCCAGAGAAUCCCGUGGACAGAGGAGCCUGGCGGGCUACAGUCCAUGAGGUUACAGAGUCAGACAGGACUGAGCAGGCAUGUUGUCGUUGUCAUUGGAGGGAACAAGCCUUUAUCAUCAGUGGUUCUGCUGCCCCUCAUCCAGCAUAUCCUUAAUGAUUCUCUCCUUUCUAUUCCUCUCCCAGUGGUAUGGAGAAGACAGUGUGCCUGUCUUCUCCAGACAGCAAAGGAACAAGACUAUUUUUGAAUCAUUCACUGCUAUGAAAGUAGUUCAGCAGAAGGACUGGUUGCUUUUAGGAUCCCCGUGUCCAGCACACCCCUCUUAUUUUUACAUGAACAUCUGCAUCUCUCCAGACUUGAGGAUGACUGUUCUGUGACUUUAGUUCUCCAAUGGCUUCACAAAAAGUCAUUAAUUUGCUGUCUGUCCAGCUUACUUCUUGUUGCAGAUAUGAAUGCUGCAGCUCUGAGAUCACAAGCCUUCCCGGAUAUCCUCCCAUGAGAAGUAGAGUCUUUUCCCUGUUACCUCAUCACACUUGGUGAAGCUGUUAGAACACUUUGCGCCGGGGUGGCUGUGGUAUCCCUGAAGGGCAGAGAACCAGUGUCAGACUUCAUUUCUUCCCCUUCUCAGUUCUCUCCCCCUGCUGCUGCUGCUAAGUCGAGUCAGUCGUGUCCGACUCUGUGCGACCCCAUAGACGCCAGCCCACCAGGCUCCCCUGUCCCUGGGAUUCUCCAAGCAAGAAUACUGGAGU
ensembl:lncRNA